UGUCCCGAGUGUGGAGUUAUACUCUCCGGGUCUGUUUGAAGGCGAUUCGGACUGGACCGAGCCGGUUCCGGUGCUGUGUUUGGUGAGAGACACGUCUCCGGGGCGGCACCGAGUCCUCUGGACUAUCGGCGCCGAGGCAGACGCGCCGGGCAUCGCGGAGGAGGGAGAGAUCGAACCCGACGGGUCCUAUAGCGUGCGCAGCUACGUCACAAUCAGCGCAGAUCAUUGGAACAGCGGCGCUGUAAAGUGCGAGGUUUACAACAACAUCACCAACGUCACAGAAAAAGUCUCCGCGUCACUCCGAAGGCAAGAUUGCGUUCCUGUGUUGUUUUACGGACUGCCCCCCGUUCUCCUGCUAAUUCUGGUCCUGGUGUCUGUGGCGUGUGUUUACAGAAGACUUCAUAAAACUAAAACCGAUCACAAGUCCAGCGAUGCUCCCUGCCGUCCCCAGCGCCCCGCCCGACACAGAACAGUCCAGGAUUACUCGACGGAGUACGCAUCGCUCAAUCUGUGAUGCUGAUCUAUAAAUGCAGCCGUGGAGAUGUUUGUAUUGUGGAGAGAGAGAGAGAGAGAGAGAGAGAGAGAGAGAGAGAGAGGGAGAGAGGGGGAGAGAGAGAGAGAGAGCUGUAUACUCUUUCAAUUCCAAGUCCAAUUCUCUGUGCAUUUACAUAGUAGUUAGUAAAUACAUGCGUAACACAAUUACAAUGUUAUUUUGCAUUGUUACAAUGUACUUACAGUGGAAAUCUCUGUGCUUGAUAUAACCCUAUCCCUAACACUAACCCUAACCCUUUGCUGAUACCGCUGUGUACUUGCAUAUAUUGUGCAAAAAGACAUCCACACUAAGCACUUUGUAACUAUGCAUAAUACCAUUGUAAUGAUGUGCCAGUCUGCAUGCAUUUACCAAAUACAAAGUAAUGAGAGACACUUCAUGUAAAAUAUUAAAUUUGCAGACGACACAAAAAUAGGAGGAGUGGCAAACUCUGUUGCAGCAGCAAAGGUCAUUUAAAAUAAUCUAGACAGCAUUCAGUACUGGGCAGACACAUGGCAAAUGACAUUUAAUAGAGAAAAGUGUAACGUAUUGCACGCAGGCAAUAAAAAUGUGCAUUAUAAAUAUCAUAUGGGAGACACUGAAAUUAAAGAAGGGAACUAUGAAAAAGACCUAGGAGUUUAUGUUGACUCAGAAAUGUCUUCAUCUAGACAAUGUGGGGAAGCUAUAAAAAAGGCCAACAAGAUGCUCGGAUAUAUUGUGAGAAGUGUUGAAUUUAAA